GGACAAUCCAUCCCAUCCUAAUAUACAGGCCAUCUUCACAUCUACAGGCCAUUCAACAUGCUAUCAUCCAAAUGGACUAAUUUGGGUGAACCUGACCCAGCUAGAGGGGAUGCACUGCAGUGAGACUGGCACUUUGAGACAGCACUGGAGCUGGCAUGACCUUGGACCGCACAUUCAUCCUCUUCCAUUCCAUCCUCUCUAUCUCUCCCUCAAUCCCUUUAUCAGCCUUUGCAUACUAACACAGGAGCGCAUACUCCUCACUUUUAGCCACUGCUCGUGCCGGGUGCGCUUCAAUGUGGGCGCCAAGCUCAAGCUUACGUACCCAAAAGGCCUAAUACUGCCAGGACCAGACACCCUGCAGAAGCAUCUCCAAAUUAAAUGUCUGGAGAUUUACUCUCUCUUGGACAGAAUCCAGACACACAUCGCCUAUCAGCACAUGCCCAGUCACCAGAACAUAAAGCCCCUCUACGGACUCAUCGCCCAAAUGGAGAGACUAAGGAGACAGGUGGACCGGCAGACUCCACCAAAGAAUUUAAAAACGCCAGUUCCACCCAAAGAAGCAUAAUCCUAGUCAUCAUUAAAUAUUCAAACGUUGUAAUAAAUACAUGUGAAUGCAUUUCUCAAGAAAAAUAAAAAAAAUUCAACAGUAAUAAAAUCCAUGAAUAACUGAAAGGCUAACUAUAAUGGUUCUACAUUCAAACAUAUCGAGCAUAUCUGGUGUGAAGUUUCCCGACAAGACAAUGAGGCUGAAUAAACGUAGGCUAAGAGCUUGAUCAGAAGUAUAAUGCCACUAAAGUGCAUUUAGCUCUGCACUUCAGAACAGUGCCCGGCAACAACCACUUAAUUUACCGUAAUUUAAUUAAUUCCACUAAUUGUCUGUACUACAAUCGCUACGCUUACUGUCUAAUAAGUGAUAA